GAUGACCUGUCGGCCCAGGAAGAAGUGACCUGGGAGCAGUUUCAGGGGCCAGGGAGUGGUGCGCAUGCUGACAUCCUCUCUGUCCCUGCCCUCCAGCCUAGGAUAGCCCCCCACCCCCACAGGAUUGCUGGACAGGGCUGCCAGUCCUCUGCUGCCCCUGCCCCAGGAAGGGGUGUGGGGUGCUCCUGUCCACAUCUGAGGGUUUAAUUCACCCCACACAGGGAAGACUCCUUUCCCCGAAUCUACAACUUGCCACGUGCCCCCCAGUGCCCACCAGGGGGCAAAGUGCCACCCAGCUCCCACUGCCUCUCAUGCCAUAGGUUUUGCAGUCAAAUGCCCUUGUCCCCGUUCCCAGGGCCACUGUGGAUUCAGCCACCGCCUCCCCGCCACACUGCCCCAGUUCUCCCACACAUACACACUCCCAGUCAUUGUCAGGACAGAGGUGGUGACCCCCUAGGCGUGGAUGACCGCCUAGCAGCGGCGCCCAGGCCCCCUGAGCUCUCUCUGCUAGCAGACCUUGCUGCCACCCCCUGCUGCAGGGCCUCCACAUGGGCUGCCCCUCUGCCACCCGUCAGUCCCAUCUCUGUUCUGGGAGCCCUCUGUCCAAACUGCGGCUAGUUUUUCUCACUGUGAAGUGACAGUGCGGAUAGUCUGUCCUCUCCAUGGAGAGCAGGCCACAUGGGGGAGGGCAGCCAGCUCUGUCCGCCAUGGCAGGGCCAGGCCCACCCAGCUCAGAACCUGUGCUCCCAAGCCCCACAGAAAUGACUUCUUGGGUCAGCGAGGUCUGUGUGGGCCGGGCGGCAUUUGAACCCAGGCUGGUGGCAGGGGCCUUCUCCUCCCUUCUUCCUCCCUCCUGGCAGCCCAGCUUCCCCCAGCCCCCCAGCGCGCUGUGUCCUCAGGCCAGGCUGCCGCAGACUAGUGUGUGCCCAUGAAUCAAGCUGACGUUUCCAUUACCGGCGGGAGACGACUAUGGGGCCGGCCGCGGGCUGGCUCUGCGGAGUGGGCUAGGAUAACUGCUUAUCGCCACCGCUGCUGAGGACGGACGCAGGCCUGGUGACUCACCAAGGCUGGUGGACCGGAGAACCCCUGGAGGCUGCCCACCAGGCGAUGUCAUCUGCAGGUGAGUCAUGCCCUGACAGACACCCACCUGGCCUGCCUGGAAGUGCUUCCUUGCGUCUGGCCAGCUGUCUUUAUGCUGCAGGCUGCAGAGCACCGGUGGACCCCUGGCCCUCAGCCCCUGCCCAGCAGGUGGGAUGGGUGACACUGAGCUGCCUUGUCCCAAGGCUUCCCCCCUGCCCCUUCCCUUCCCUGACCCUUUGGCAGGGGAGCACAGCCCACGUUGGGGCAGCCACGCACCAUCAUCACAGGCGACUUGCAUGAUUAUUUAUUGGAUGCUUUUCUUGAAGCCUGUCUCUCUUUUCACGGAAAUGCCUACUGGGGUUCCCCCCGAGCAACGGUGUCUGUGAGUCGUGGCCCGGAGCGCCGCGGUACAUUUGUCUACUACACAUUUACAGUAGCACGACUACUCAGAGGGGACAGUGCAGCCCAUGUGCCAACCGAAUCCCCGCCUGCACCCGUGGGGGGGCUGGCUGCACGCCAACUUCAAGAGGACCCUGGCGGGAAGCAGGCACUCUCUCCAGCCUAGAUCCUGACGGACCUCAUCGCUCCCUAGCCCUGUACCUGCGGUGGCUCCCUCUUGCUCCAAGCCUAACGCCAAGUCCUUGUCCUAGCAUCCAAGGCCUUUAUGAUUCCGCACCCAUCUCAGUAAGUCCCCACCUGGGCUGAAUGAGUCAGGAAUGAAUGAAUGGCUCAGGCUUGAUGAAGGCGCACAGGCAUGAGUCAGCGAUGACCGGUGUGCACCUCCACUUGGAUGUCCCCAAGACUUCCCUCGUCCCCGUGCCCUGCCCCUUGCCUGGGCAGCAUCACCAACAUGCCAACCCCUCCUAACUUGCUCCUGAACCUGCCCACAGGGCCCUUCCUACUUGGGCUGCACGGAGGAUGGGGCGAGGCUCUGCCUAUGGCUGCCGUGGCCCUCCUGCACGCAGGCCCGGCCACGGCUGUGGCCUCUGCCCUGGGAGCAAGCUGACACUUCCUGAGUCUUGCGAGUUGGGCUGUGAUCAGUAAGGUGCCUACCACCGUAGGAGCACGGUCGAUACACAGAGGAUGGCUGAAUAAUGGGAUGCACGCAAGGAUGCUUGAUGGGUCUGAUGUAAGGAAGAUGACGAUGGAUGGACGAUAUACUUACGGAUGGUGAUAGGUAAAGGAGAACUAAGUGCUCUGCUCAAGGGAGCCUUUGGGAAAGGCCUGGAAAGAAGUGACCCCUCGGGAGAUCACUGAACUCGGUGCUAGGAGUCGUCUUGGUUCAAACUCCAGCUGUGUCCCUGAUCCCUGUGACUCCACACUUCCUCGUCUCUAAGAUCGGGGCUGUUCCCCAGGCAUCGAAGUCCUAGGACUUUAUGCAAAAGUGGCCCUAGACACAGGACAAAGGGUCCCCAGGGAGGGUCAGGGCAUGGCCCCCUUGACGUGUGGCCUCUCUAAGCUCCUGGCUUCGGACGGCCUUCUAGGGCUUUGCCUGUUGGACGGCCACGCCCUCUGGAACCCGCCCACCUCCACCCCCAGGCCCAACUUUGGUUCUGAGUCCCCUCGGUGCCUGGCCCUGAGUGCACUGGCCUCAACACAGCGAGAAAACGGGUCCACAAGCAUUUAUUGAGCCCCUGCUGUGUGCCCCAGCCCUCGGCCACCGUGCAGGCUCAGCUUCUCCUCCUUCAGGAAGCUGCCCCUGCCCCCCACAGGGCUCUGCACCUCUGGGCCCCUCCUGAACUUCCCGGCUGGCGGGUGGGUGGCCCAGGUGUCCAGUGGAUGAUGUCCGUGUCUUUCGGUGCUGGCUGCAGCCAGCAGUUAGGGCUUCCUGUCCCAAAGCUGCUCUGAGACCCAGGAGAAGAGUGGGCCUGGUGGC